rnacentral:rRNA from 1 species
AUUGAACGCUGGCGGCAGGCUUAACACAUGCAAGUCGAGCGGAGAUGAGGUGCUUGCACCUUAUCUUAGCGGCGGACGGGUGAGUAAUGCUUAGGAAUCUGCCUAUUAGUGGGGGACAACAUUCCGAAAGGAACGCUAAUACCGCAUACGUCCUACGGGAGAAAGCAGGGGAUCUUCGGACCUUGCGCUAAUAGAUGAGCCUAAGUCGGAUUAGCUAGUUGGUGGGGUAAAGGCCUACCAAGGCGACGAUCUGUAGCGGGUCUGAGAGGAUGAUCCGCCACACUGGGACUGAGACACGGCCCCGACUCCUACGGGAGGCAGCAGUGGGGAAUAUUGGACAAUGGGGGGAACCCUGAUCCAGCCAUGCCGCGUGUGUGAAGAAGGCCUUAUGGUUGUAAAGCACUUUAAGCGAGGAGGAGGCUACUGAGACUAAUACUCUUGGAUAGUGGACGUUACUCGCAGAAUAAGCACCGGCUAACUCUGUGCCAGCCGCCGCCGUAAAAC